rnacentral:rRNA from 1 species
UACAGAGGGUGCAAGCGUUGUUCGGAAUUACUGGGCGUAAAGCGUGCGCAGGCGGUCUGUUAAGACCGAUGUGAAAUCCCCGGGCUUAACCUGGGAACUGCAUUGGUGACUGGCAGGCUUUGAGUGUGGCAGAGGGAGGUAGAAUUCCACGUGUAGCAGUGAAAUGCGUAGAGAUGUGGAGGAAUACCGAUGGCGAAGGCAGCCUCCUGGGCCAACACUGACGCUCAUGCACGAAAGCGUGGGGAGCAAACAGG